ACUCCUACGGGAGGCAGCAGUGGGGAAUAUUGCACAAUGGGCGCAAGCCUGAUGCAGCCAUGCCGCGUGUGUGAAGAAGGCCUUCGGGUUGUAAAGCACUUUCAGUCGUGAGGAAGGUAGUGUAGUUAAUAGCUGCAUUAUUUGACGUUAGCGACAGAAGAAGCACCGGCUAACUCCGUGCCAGCAGCCGCGGUAAUACGGAGGGUGCGAGCGUUAAUCGGAAUUACUGGGCGUAAAGCGCAUGCAGGUGGUUUGUUAAGUCAGAUGUGAAAGCCCGGGGCUCAACCUCGGAAUUGCAUUUGAAACUGGCAGGCUAGAGUCUUGUAGAGGGGGGUAGAAUUUCAGGUGUAGCGGUGAAAUGCGUAGAGAUCUGAAGGAAUACCAGUGGCGAAGGCGGCCCCCUGGACAAAGACUGACGCUCAGAUGCGAAAGCGUGGGGAGCAAACAGGAUUAGAUACCCUGGUAGGAUAGCG
rnacentral:rRNA from 1 species